UCCGUAGGUGGAUAAUUAAGUCAGAGGUGAAAGUUUGCAGCUCAACUGUAAAAUUGCCUUUGAUACUGGUUAUCUUGAGUUAUUGUGAAGUAGUUAGAAUAUGUAGUGUAGCGGUGAAAUGCAUAGAUAUUACAUAGAAUACCAAUUGCGAAGGCAGAUUACUAACAAUAUACUGACACUGAUGGACGAAAGCAUGGGGAGCAAACAGGAUUAGAUACCCUGGUAGUCC
rnacentral:rRNA from 1 species